GCCUAACUUUCUAAGAUGAUAAAGAUACCUGAUUUGGAUUCAUAGUUGUCGCAGAGAGAUGAUUAAGUGCCUGACUUCUUUUUUACUAAGUUUUAAGAUUCAUGUUGGCAUCCUUAUAUGUUUCUUAUCAAAUUGAUGAAGAUGUUGCUUAAAAACAUUCGUCUCAAACCUCUCUUAUCAUCCAAGUCUAUCCGUUGGGUGAAAGAUUUCUGGCAAGAAUGAGGAUAGCAGUUCCUACUUGAAGUCUUGCUUGGUUUUAGGUGGUUGUCAAUAAGAUAAUUCACACAAACAAUUAAUAUAGCCUAGAGAACAAAUGAGUUUUAAUCCGAUCAUAUUAGAGUCAUCCUUAAAAUGAAGGCUUGGAAUUGAUCCCUAGUCAAAACCCAACCAACAAUUAAGGGUUAUGUAGAGAAAAUGCAAUACUUCACCAUGUCAAGUUACAAUUAAU
rnacentral:misc_RNA from 1 species